rnacentral:snoRNA from 1 species
AUCCCAUGAUGUGGACACUUUCGUAGCAUAUUCUUAAACGUAUUCCAGGCUUCAUUGAAAUUCUCCGAGUCGCCUUGGUGGAAAAUAGAGAUAUCAUGCAUGAGCUU